CCCUUAUCCCAGCGCCAUGUCCCGUUGCUGUCCCUUAUUGAUGAUGUCCCUUAAAUAAGCUACUGAAGGUAAUGGGGCCCUUUCUUUGUCCAGCUGUGCUUUGUCAACAACAAAUUGUUGCUGUUUUUUUUGUGUUGAAUAUAUGCUAUAUGGUAAUUUAUGGACCUAAUAGGUAUCUAAAGCCAUUUGCACGCAACAAAAUAUGUAUUUUAUCAAAGUAAUUGUUGAUCCCUUAUUUUGGCUGCUGAUCCCUUAUUUUCGAGGCUGCUGGUCCCUUAUU